rnacentral:lncRNA from 10 species
ACAAAGAACAUUGGCUGGGGCUCUGUUAAAUUAGCCAAGGAAUUAUCAGAGUUUCCCUAUGGAGAGAACCAUGUGAACAAGAAACUGAUGUCUUUGGACAACAGCCAGCGAGGAUCUGAGACCUGCCAAGAAUUACAUAAAUGUGUUUGUGGAAGUGGAUAUUCAUCUAGCCCAGCCUCGUAUGAUUGGUGCUCCAGCCAACAACUUCAUGACACCCUUGCAAAGCAUCUUGAUCCUGAGAAAUCCACUUAAACUUUGCCCCGAUUCCUGACCCACAGCUUUGGGAUAAUGAACGUCUGAUGUUUUCAGCCACUAAGUUUUGGUAAUUUUUUGUGCCCUGGAAGCUAACAAGUAUAUUUGUUAUCAUUGCAUCUCUCCUUACAAUUUUUUCAAUGUACCCUUAAGUUUGCCUCCCUUCCAAUAUUUGCUUUUACCCUGAGUUUUAGUCUAUUAAUUUCUUACAUUGGCUUAUAGUAAUUAUCUACAUAAUUAUCUAUUAUUUAUAGAACAUAUACUACGUAUUACAAUACAUAGUAGAAAAAAAUUUAGCUUGUUAUUAUGGAGUACUUUAAGUAUAUACAAAAGUAAAGUAAACAAAUAUAAUGGACCCCCAUGCACCUAUCACCUAGCUUCAACACUUAUGGUCAAUAUUGAUAUAGCACAACAAUAUUGACAAAACAACCCAUAGUCAAUAUCAUUUCACCUCUAUGUUUACCCAUUCUUCUCCCUCAGAUUAUUUUCAAGGAAG